rnacentral:sRNA from 1 species
AGUUGGAAAAUUAAGAAACUAUAAAGAAGAAAUUCUACCCUACAUUGUGGAUUCCCAGUGUUUUAUUUUGGAUGCCUUAUUCACCCAAGAGCAACAAGUUACGAAGGCAUCGAGAAAUCAUGGACAACAGCUGAGUCUUAUCACUGUGUGGCAGGGAUGGAUUUCUGGAAGACAUGCAAGAAGAGGCUACUGAUGAGAGUGCACCCCAGUUGCAACAAGGAGUCACAUUAAAAGUACUGACCUGAGUCUCAGAAGACAUUUUGAACUUCUAAAUAAUAUUUAACCGAUGAUAAAUAAGAUACUGUAACCAGUAUCCUUCGCGUUCACUUUAAGAUAUAUUAAUUCCACACAGAUUCAAGUCUUCUAACUGUCCAUGUUAAGGAUCCAUUGAAUUGGAGCUGUAUCAGUGCUCUUCAUGAAACAUAAAUGGUAAGCAGUACACAGAAAUUUAUACACCUUUCUCAGAUAACACUGUCAAUGCUAAAAUUAAAAGCAAAUCACAGAUUACAACAGCAUGAUUUAAAACUUAGAAUAUCAAAAUAUAGAAUAUUGCACACAUAUCAUAGAACUUUUUAUUCUUAGAUACUAAUGAGAUGGUUAUUGUUUCUUUCAACUUGAUGUGAUCUAGAAUCACCUGAGAGGCAAGCCCCUGUCUUUUUUGAGCUGGCAUAAUUAAAUUAAUUGAACUUAAUUAAUCAAUCAUAAUUAAUUUAAUUGAAGUAGGAGGACCUAUCCUUCUUGAUUGGAUCAGUCUGUGUAUUCUUAGUACUGGCCUCUUCCCUAACAAAUUAUCUUUCUGGAUUCCAGGCAAGAAUGAUUCAAACCAAAGUCCAAAGACUGAUAAUUUUAAAAAUAUAUCCACAAUUAGUAAUUACUUACAUGAUAAAAUGUAACUUAUUUUAAAACACAGUAACUUCUUUAGGUACGUUCAGUGUCUUAAUCUCACUUUGACACACAUUAUAUAGAUAUCUGCACAUUUGGGAUUCGUUGUUGUUGUUUUUGUUUGUUUGUUUAGCUAAACCUAUAUAAACUUGACUUCUGUGUCUAUUUUAUA